AUACGAAGGGGGCUAGCGUUGUUCGGAAUCACUGGGCGUAAAGCGCACGUAGGUGGAUCAAUCAGUUGAGGGUGAAAUCCCGGGGCUCAACCUCGGAACUGCCUUCAAUACUGUUGGUCUUGAGUCCGAGAGAGGUGAGUGGAAUUCCUAGUGUAGAGGUGAAAUUCGUAGAUAUUAGGAAGAACACCAGUGGCGAAGGCGGCUCACUGGCUCGGUACUGACGCUGAGGUGCGAAAGCGUGGGGAGCAAACAGGAUUAGAAACCCUAGUAGUCC
rnacentral:rRNA from 1 species